CUCGAAAUCCUCUUGCGGGGGGAUUCAGUCAGGAAUCCGCGGUGCCCCUUCGUCUCGAGCGACCCCUAAGUAAGGGCGUUCGGGAUCGGGGUUUGUUUUCGUGGGAGCCUGACGCAUUUCCUCCCGCACCAAGGACGCCGCAGCCGGUUGGGUAGCUGCGCGUGUCGGCCAUGAGGGCGGGCAACGGAAGGUGGCCGGAGUCCGUGUCCCCUUAAAAGGACGGCGGUCUCCGGUUGUUAGCCAGCCCGUCCGUGGCACGACACCCGACCGAGGUUUCGGAGGUCCUUUUUGGGACCUUGCCACCCCCUCUAUUAUUUGUUUAAUAGAGCGGGCCGCCAGACAGGUGUGUUCCUGCGUUGGCAUUUUCAGUCUCCGCACCGGGUGGCUCGCAGGGUAAAAGAAACUCGGCAGCAAUUUCGGUUGUUGUUGUUUGUUUUUACCUCCGAUGGUCUGGAUCGGCUCCGAUGUUGUUGGGGUUUAAAUGGCUAGCGGCGAGUAGGUCGGUCACCCACCCGACCCGUCUUGAAACACGGACCAAGGAGUCUAACAUGUGCGCGGGUCAUGGGGUCUUGCUUAGGCCCAAAGGCGCAAUGAAAGUGAAAAGUGACGUCGAAAAAAAGAAUACUUUUUUUUCUGACGGCUCGGUUGGGAUUCGCACCCGAUUUGGUGGCGGGUGCGAAGCACCAACGACCCGCCCUAUCCUAUUUCAUUAGGUUGGACGGAGUCCGAGCGCACACGUUGGGACCCGAAAGAUGGUGAACUAUGCCUGGGCAGGACGAAGCCAGAGGAAACUCUGGUGGAGGUCCGCAGCGGUU
rnacentral:rRNA from 1 species